rnacentral:miRNA from 1 species
GGAAUCUUGCUGAACCACAGGUUCUGAUUCAGUAGGGCUGGGGUGGGGCCCGAGAUUCUGCAUUUGUAACAAGUUC